ensembl:lncRNA
AUUGCAGGGCUACACAGAGACCAACUAACAUUCAAACUCACAUCCACACACCUACGGGCAAUUUAGAGCCACCAAUUAACCUGAUCCCCAGAGCAUGUCUUUAGACUGUGGGAGGAAGCCAGAGGACCCGGAGAGAACCCACGCCGACAGGGGGAGAAUAUGCAGACUGCACAGAGAAAGGCCACAGGGAGAAGUCGAACUCAGGACAUUCUUGCUGUGAGGCGACAGUGCUAACCAUGACCCCACUGUGCAGCCCGUAUGGCAUUCCAAUAUAUUUAAAGGCUUUGCUUCGAAUUCAGCAUUCUGCAAAUGUGCUUCUUCCCCUUUCUGAGAGACAUCAAUUUCAGAUUGCAAAUUUACAUUUACACGCACGUGGCUUCAGCAGACGUCUCUAUUGGACAUAAUAAAUGUUUACACUCUUUACAUUGAUGUUUUUACCAAGGAUAUCUCAAAUAAUCUAAAUGGUGAUACUGCAAGACAAGUUCAUCUUUGUUGGGAUGAGGUCAGCCUGUGAGAUUAUAACUCAAUGAUUUGAAUAAUAAAUAAUCUUUUUCAAUGUGUAGCCAGUGAGAAAAUGUCCUUCCUGAGCUACUGUAGGUUCAGGCAGGCCUUGGUACCUCCUACUUCCUGGUUCACCCAUUAGAAAGGGUAUAAAGCUGCCCAUAAUGAAGCUGCUUUUGGCAUGCUUGUCCCUUUCUGUGUUGGAGAGUGGCUGGAGAAGCCAGUGAGCUGGUAGGUGUUUUCAUUCUCAGUUCUUAUUAAAAUGGUUUGGCCAUUGGUGAUCUUUCUGUUUGUGUCUCCCAGCUCGUCAGGGAGGCCCAAACCAUGUGUGAGCCAUACCAGGUGGAGGAGCCUCAAAGUUGUCUGCAGAGUAGCAUCCCAGAUGGUGGGUCUGGUGGCUGGGCCUUUAAUCUGCUCAUCCCAUUGUCCGUUUGUCUGUAUUCUUUUUACAUAGCAUGCCUCUAUUUUAUAUUGUUUGUGUGGAGAAACUGAGUCGGUGAGUGCCCUGUGCCAGAGCCUGUCCCUGUUCCUGCCCCGGUGCAGCCUAGUCACCAGUAGCACUCAAUUUGUUUGUAGAGGUGCAUUUGGUUAUUUCUACAGCUGAUGGAAAUUGGUGUAAUCGUUUUGUAUGCUUACUAUAUUUUAACUAAAUGUUGAAAUCUGGGAAUACUUUUUCCUCAGUCUGACUUCAGUCACCUGUUGAUCCGUGGUUGUUGGAUAAUUUAUGAGGAAAUAUUUAACCCUGUGCUACCGGUGGUUACAAAUGUAUUUCUUCCAGUUGCUCAACUUCUCAUGACUUGAUCUACACACUAUGCAUCAGCUAAAACUAAUGCAUUCUAAUACAACAGCCCUAAAACUAUUUCUCCCGCAUUCUCUUGUAUCUGUCGACAGCCCAAAUAGAAAUCUGCUAAUGGUACCCCUAGAGGGGAUUUACUUGCACGUUGAACUUUACUAAUUGCUUGUGAUCUCUUCUCAGACUGCUAUGGCUGGUUCUACACCUGCAGAAUCAAGAUGACCAAUGGAAAAACUAAAACUUCCAAUGUUCGGAAGUUAGGGUUGGUUCAAAAUGCGUUUGGCAAGAAACCUGGUGGAGACCGUGGUGCCAUGAAAGCAAACAAAAGGACGGUCCAGAGAGUUGGUCGAGCAGUUUCAGCCUCCUCUGACGGUGGAAAUUACCAGCACUCUUUAGUGAUUUGAGAGAACGGUAAGACUUUUUUCCAGUAUGGUUUUUGAUAUGUAAUGCUUGUCAUGCAGGCUGUGUGACGGGUCUAAUAAAACAUUCCUUUUCAAACCGUCAAGAGCCUGACUGUUGUAUAAUGUGUUAACUGUAUCUUCUAAAAUGUGGUUGAUGUCCUGAACUAUGCCACCCUCUUUAGCUGCUUCAUUUAAAUUUGGCAGCUGUUUGCUCGUACAGGGAAACUCCAAUCAAUGUUCAGAAAACAUUCCGGUUGGGUAAAGUAGUUCUGUGAUUCCACGCAGGAUGAUCCAGAGAAGACAACAGGGUCCUGCCUUCGGCUCCCUAGGAGCGGCCAAGCAACUUCAGCCUCCUGUGAAAAUUGAGAGGUAAGACCCUUUCUCAGUACUGCUUUUCAUGUCCUGCUGUGAAAGUCUAAUAAAAUGUUAGAAUGCCAGACGGUUGGUUGGUUAACUGCAUCUGCUGCUAAUAUAUACUGAACUAAUUCAGUUUUUAUCUGCGCUUUCCCAGUGUGUAAAAAGAUGCAUUCUUGUCAGUGUUUAAAUAUUUCUUGUUUGCUGAAGUACUGUUGUGCUACCACACAGGACGAUUCAGAGAACACUACAGGCUCCUGCUUCAGAGGCAUGCAGCUUUAGCCUCCUGUGGAAAUUGCCUUAUGCUCCUGCAAAAUUAGCGAUUUGACUAACUGGAUGAUAGAAUCCAACUCUCUACAGGCUUUGGCAAAAGG